GGGUUGUGAGGUUAAGCGACUAAGCGUACACGGUGGAUGCCCUGGCAGUCAGAGGCGAUGAAGGACGUGCUAAUCUGCGAUAAGCGUCGGUAAGGUGAUAUGAACCGUUAUAACCGGCGAUUUCCG
rnacentral:rRNA from 2 species